GAUUAAGGGUAUUUCCACAUUCUCCCUCACCUGACUGAGGGGGAGUGUGGGUGCACCAGUUACACUAUCACAUCCAGAGAUCAAAAGGCUUAGUUAUUCAUAUUUUUGGGAUCCCAAAGAAAUGUUUUCAAGUCUUCGCAUUCUAAAUACUUGAGUGACAUUGUAUUUUAAAGCAAACUUAUAGCAAAACUUUCAGGUAUUCUUUGGUAAAAUUAUCAAAAUUCUUUGGUAAAUUCAAAAAUCGUGCAGUACAUUCAGCAGAAAAAUAUUGACUUGCCAUGGUGAUACAGCUUGCACAUGUAUAUAUCUGAGGUUGUAGUUCUCUUACCUCAGCAUUUCCUUCUAGCCACUAGCAAACACACGUCUAUACUUCCUUAAAGUGUGACUUCCAAUAUACAUUGGAGUUGUAGGUAAGGGGAGAUCACUCCUGACAGAAGAUAUUUUGCAUGAAUUAUAUGGUGAUUUUUUUGUGUCCACUGCUGUGAAGUUUUUCAGUUACACGACAGGUUGUAAGCCUUUUAUGGGAUUAAAGCUGGAUGUGAUACAUUUUUGUAGACAUGUACCACUUUGGAGUGCCCAACAGACAGAACUGUGCUCAGUGAUUUACUACACCUUGGACUUAAACUAAAAUGUCUACAA